AGAGUUUGAUCCUGGCUCAGAAUCAACGCUGGCGGCGCGCCUAACACAUGCAAGUCGAACGAGAACGGCUCAGCAAUGGGCUUAGUAAAGUGGCGUACGGGUGAGUAACACGUGGAUCAUCUACCCUCCUGUGGGGGAUAACCCGGGGAAACCUGGGCUAAUACCGCAUAACAUCCGCAAGGAUCAAAGGAGCAAUUCGC
rnacentral:rRNA from 1 species